AAUUUGCCUGGAAAGAAACAAGAACAGAACCAAGGAGAAGCACUUCGCAGGUAUUUCUGCACUCGUUUUAAUUCUUAUACAAAAGAAAUGCUCUGUAUCACCCUGAGACUGCUGUAUACUUACAGUGAGAUAUGAUCCAAGGGCUGGGGCAUCUCUGCUGUGAGAACAGGCUGAAGGAGCUUAGGGGUGUUCAGCCUGGAGAAGACUCCAGGAUGACCUCUGAGGUGCCCUCCAAUACCUAAAGGGAUCCUCCAGGAAAACUGCAGAGGGACUUUUCCUGAGGGUGUCUAGACACAGGCCAAGGGGGAAUGGUUUGAAGCUGAGGCAGAGUGGAGUUAGACUGGAGCUGAGGAAGAAGUUCUUCAGUGUGAGGGUGGUGAGACUCUGGCACAGGCUGCCCAGGGAGGCUGUGGCUGCCUCCUUCCUGCCUAGGGGUGUUGAAGGCCAGGCUGGAUGAGGCCUUGAGCAGCUGACUGUAGCUGAGAGGUGUCCCUGGGCGUGGUGGGAAUGUUGGAGGAGAUCUCAUACUCAUUUAUCAGGGCUGUGACUGAAGAAUAUUGUCUUUGACAACCACCUAAUUCUGACUGUGUUGAUCAGUGAGCUGAUUUAUGUUCAGGAGUCACAGCUCAAGGAACAGUUCUGUUUGUGAGAUUGUGCUGCACAGCCAGCACUGCAGGAAGCUUAGGAGCUUUGUGGAACAGGAAGAUACUGCUUAAUGUACUUAUGAAAGGUUGAAACCUGCAUGUGGAAAAGCAUCCAAUUAUUCAGAUUCAGUGUAAACAUAGUGUACAGGAGUUCUUAAUUAGUCACAGCUCCUAAUGUUGGAAAUGGAAUUUACUGCUGAGGAAUCCUGAAAAGCAGAUCCCAAGCACUGCACUCUCACAACAUGACAAUGUCAACCUUUAAAAAGUUCUGAUGAGUAAAACUGAGCCCCUAAAAAUGACCACCAUGGUGUGCAGACACCAUGGCUAAAGAGAUUGGUCCUUCUCUCUCCCCCUUUCAAAAGUUACAGGUCAGCACUUAAAUAAGUUCUAAGUGCUCCACUACUGUUUCCAUUCAAUCUUCACAACAUUUUCUAUAGCUUUAAUUUCUUACAGGCACUGGAAAUCCUUCGUGUUCAAGGCGCAGCUGUGGAUCCCAGAAAGCAGCUUUCCAGCAAGUCAGUCUCCUUUAUUAGGUCCCUCCAGCUGACAGCCUCCUUGGCCUGUGCACCUGAUCUCAGGCCACCUGCACAAAGGCUCUAAACAGCUAAAACCAUGGCCUGCAUCUUACCGAAUCAUGGUGAACUCAGUUCUGCUUUCACACCACUUCUACGCUGAUUUAAACUUCCUUGGAAUUACUCACAGCAAUAGGCAGAGCAGAAUCAAGCUUAAUGUGU